UCCAGACUCCUACGGGAGGCAGCAGUGGGGGAUAUUGCACAAUGGGGGGAACCCUGAUGCAGCGACGCCGCGUGGGUGAAGGAGCGUUUCGGCGCGUAAAGCCCUAUCGGCAGGGAAGAAGGAGGACGGUACCUGACUAAGAAGCCCCGGCUAACUACGUGCCAGCAGCCGCGGUAAUACGUAGGGGGCAAGCGUUAUCCGGAUUUACUGGGUGUAAAGGGGGCGCAGACGGCAGCGCAAGCCAGGAGUGAAAGCCCGGGGCCCAACCCCGGGACUGCUCUUGGAACUGCGCGGCUGGAGUGCAGGAGGGGCAGGCGGAAUUCCUGGUGUAGCGGUGAAAUGCGUAGAUAUCAGGAGGAACACCGGUGGCGAAGGCGGCCUGCUGGACUGCGACUGACGUUGAGGCCCGAAAGCGUGGGGAGCAAACAGGAUUAGAUACCCCAGUAGU
rnacentral:rRNA from 1 species